CACGAAACUAUUCACUUCUUGCCCAAUUAUCCGAAACGUUGCGAUUUACACGCGUCAUACGUGGACGCUGAAAAGUUUCAGGUAGCUGUCUGUCAGUGAACCUAAUCAUGCGUCAGCUGAAAGGAAAACCCGCCAAAGAAACCAAGAAAGAUAAAAGGGAGAGAAGAAGGGAUAAUAUUGAAAAUAAAAACAAUGUGACAAGAGUUGUCCUUCCUGUUUGUGGUGCAUUAAUAGCAGCUUUAGUUGCCUUUGUGCUUUAUAGCACGAAUUUCAAAAUAUGAAGCAUUUUUUGUUGACAUUUGUUUUACUAGUAUUUGAGAAAAACUUCAUGGAACAUUGUGUUUUGUUACGUUCUUACUGUUACAAAGUAUGUGAAAAAAAGGGAAAAAACAAUGUUUUUGCGAGAAAAUUCAACGAAAAUUUUUACCUGACCAGUUUUACAUAAUUAUCCGGAAGAGUAAACCGAGCAGGGAAACAGCUGGAAUUGUAGAACAGAUCUAGAGCUUUUUUCAAAUAGAUCACUUAAAUAACUGAAGAGCUAUUUUUUAAAAACUUUUCGCCAUUGAUGUUUGGACAUUACCGGACUUUAGAUUUUAUUACAUGUAAUGAUGUACAAAUGUAUAUACAUUCAUAUAUUGUUCACAUUUUGUUUAACUAAGCUGAAAACUACCGACCAUUAUCAUUUCCUAUUUUAAAAUGUUUUUUGAUGUAUUUUCUUUCCUGAUGUUUUGUUUUUAAAUGUGAUGUUACAUCCAUUAAUGGAUGGAUAAAGAUAGUAUAGUUUUAGAUUACAUAAGAUACAUGUGUAAAGCUUGUGUUCAAGAAUUUCACCUACAUUUCAGUUACAUUUCAGCAUAAACAUGUAAACUAUUUUGGAUCAUUCUUACCCUGGUCGUUAUUCAUUCUUCCAUAUAUGUGCUAAAUAUAUGUCAUUAAGCAAUAAUGUACUAUACCAUUAUUUUGUGCCUUACUAUGUAACAUUUGUUUUUGUAAAUUAGAGUAAAAUGUAUUGAACUAAAUAUAUUUUUCUGUUUUAUCCACUUUUAAGAUUUUACAUGUAUUGAUGCUAAUACACGUUUUGUGUAAUUUCGAUUUCGAAACAAGUUCUUGAAGGGAUAUAAAUCGCAUCUGAAUCCAGUAACUUGAACAAAUCUGUUCUGGUUCCAUCUGAAGAAACAGGGUGGUAUCCCGAGUAGGACUCGAACCCAUGAUCCCUUGUUUGAGAGACAGACACUUUAACCACCAGUCCACCGUUUCGAUCAUCAUGUAUGUUAACUCUGUCUUGAUCGAAAAGUACUUUAAUCAUUAUUACGCUUGACUGUGAAGAUUUAAUGAAAUACCCUUGAAACUAACAAGUAUUUGUGUACUUUAUAGUAACGCUGGAACACACGAUUCUUGGGUCUAAAUAUAUGCAAUCACUAUAGUCCACGGCCCUUUGAAAUAAUAAACAAAAAAGUUUUAAUCUAUGACUUUUGAAAAUUGUUUAUUAUUCUAUUUUGGGUACUAUUACGUUGUUGACUAAUUUACAAAAUAGUUUUGUAAAUCGAUACCGUUUUCAGAAAUCUCAAUAUACAUGAAGUGUUAAAUUAUUAAAUAAACAUUUGUUUGGACUGGCCAACUUUCGUAUUGAGUUUGUAUUGAGAUCGCAUUGUUGUUGUGUAGAAAUUGUAUUGAGAUUAUAUUGAGAUUGUAUUUAGUUUGUAUUGAGGUUGUAUUGAAAUUGUAUUAAGAUCGUAUUUAAUUUGUAUUGAGAUCGUCUUGAAAUUGUAUAGAGGUCGUAUUAAGUUUGUUUUGAGAUCGUAAUGAAAUUGUAUUGAUGUGGUACUAACUUUGUGUUGAGGUCGUAAUGAAAUUGUAUAGAGGUCGUAUUAACUUUGUAUUGAGGUCGUAAUGAAAUUGUAUUGAUGUGGUAUUAACUUUGUAUCGAGGUCGUUAUGAAAUUGUAUUAAGAUCGUAUGUAGUUUGUAUUGAGAUCGUAAUGAAAUCGUAUUGAGGUCUUAUUAAGUUUGUAUUGAGAUUGUACAGUGUUUGUUUACAUGUUAUUCAUUGAACAGUGAUUUUUAAAACUUUAAAUUAAAAUAGUAAAAUAAAGCGUUUUACGACACUGAUUAGAGACUGUUAAUUAAGAUAAACAUAUUUAUCUAUAUUCACAUUCAUGAAUAAAGUUAUGAAUAUUUCAUGAAUCAUUUUCAAAUGGCAUUGCCUUACAGCUUAUUACAAAUGCUCAUGAUUUUUUUUACUUGAAUUGUUUUAUCUCUUUUAUUAUUUCCCACCGUUCCCUUUUUAGGAGCGUCUUUAAUAAUUGUAUUUUUAAUUUUUAUUGUUGUUUUCUAAAGUAUUUCAAACAUGUUUGAUUUUAUACAAUAUCUGACAAUAUUGUAUUUUUUGUUCGUUCAUACUUGACUUGCUUUUUUUUGUGUGUACAAAGUAGCGGGAAGGAACCAUUAUAUUAGUCACGCGCGUUUUUAUGAUAUUCUGUUUGUCUCUAAUUUGUUAUAAUACAAUUCAUCAAAUGUUAGUAUUUGGAUCAUUUGAUAUAUUGGAAUAAAUAGUGCAUAUAAUAAAACUAAAUUUGUCCCCAGGUAGUUAAGAAUAGUCAUAAUCGGUAACACAUGUAUACAUUAUAGCGAAACCAGUACCCGUGGGGUUCCGACGAUGAGAAUAGUAGGAAUACACAAAUAUCAGUCAGUAUGUAAUUUCAAAACAUUUUUAAUCAAGAUUUAAUGUAUUUAAUUAAAUUUUCUUGAUGAAUUUUGUAUGACUAAUCACACUUUUAUGUUCCUUCCUUCUCAGUUAUGUAGGGCUAACACCAAAUCGAACCGAAAUUGCAAUUCGAUACAUUUUUUUUCUUACUCAAAAUUUUGAAAAACGAAAAUAUUUUUUUUUUAGUUUAAACUAUUUCACUUUCUGUUACCCUCAUUUUUGACGAAUGAAAUAUUUGGAUUGUACUACUGUUUUAAACUAAAUGUGCAAUAAAAGUGCUUUUUCCGUGAACAUUUCAUAUAGAAAGUGAAACUAUAUGCACUUGUAACUAAACGAGCCAAUGCAUAUAUGAUUUGAUUUCAUUCAUAAUCGCUUAAACUUGACUAGGUAACUUGAAACCUAUCAAACUUUUAAGUUUUUGUUUUACUUAAUAUGAACAGGAAACGAUGAUACUCUAUGCAUCAUUUGAAAUGUUUAUGAAAAUAUUUCAGUAAUUUAUGAAAAGAAAAUACGCUAAUUCACUUCCGGAAACCAUGUAUUUUAGCCAAAAUGUUGAAGGUCAUAAACCGAACUGAUAAAAGUACUAAUGUUAAUGUUUCUCUUUUGUUUAUGUCAUACACUCAUAAGAGGUAAUUUCCAUUUCAUAAGUGCGUAUAUUUUGACAAUUUAAUACAUUUGUUAACGUCGCGCACGUGAUGUGAUGUGAUCACGUGCGAGGAAUUUUAUUCUAAAAAUAGUAAAUCUUGUUAAGUACAAGUGUGUAAUAACAUAUGCUAUGACAAUUAACACAAAUAUCAAACAUAAAUUUUCACUAGGUCUUGUAUUUAUAUGCAUAUUAAGUUAUUUAUAAUAUUUAUAUUUUACGUUGAUCAACUGACACGGAACAUGUGUUAUAAACUGUUUUCGUUUGUGAAUGUUUUUUAUCCCUUAAUUUACAGAAUUAUCGUUUGUUUGUCUGUACUUAAUUCUUUUUCAAAUAUAUUUUGUUUAUUAAUAUGAAAACAAAAUAAAUGAAACUGAAUCAGU